rnacentral:rRNA from 1 species
UAAUACGGAGGGUGCGAGCGUUGUCCGGAAUCACUGGGCGUAAAGGGCGCGUAGGUGGCGCGACCAGUCAACGGUGAAAGCUCGACGCUCAACGUCGAGUCGGCCGUCGAUACUGUCGGGCUGGAGCACUGUAGAGGCUCAUGGAAUUCCGGGUGUAGCGGUGGAAUGCGUAGAGAUCCGGAAGAACACCGGUGGCGAAGGCGGUGAGCUGGGCAGUUGCUGACACUGAGGCGCGACAGCGUGGGGAGCAAACAGGAUUAGAUACCCUGGUAGUCCACGCCGUAAACGAUGGGCACUAGGUGCUUGGGGGAGCGACCCCCUGAGUGCCGACGCUAACGCAUUAAGUGCCCCGCCUGGGGAGUACGGCCGCAAGGCUG